rnacentral:rRNA from 1 species
AACAUUGAAUCUUCGGAGGAUUUGUUGGGCGUCGAGCGGCGGACGGGUGAGUAAUGCCUAGGAAAUUGCCUUGAUGUGGGGGAUAACCAUUGGAAACGAUGGCUAAUACCGCAUAAUGCCUACGGGCCAAAGAGGGGGAUCUUCGGACCUCUCGCGUCAAGAUAUGCCUAGGUGGGAUUAGCUAGUUGGUGAGGUAAUGGCUCACCAAGGCGACGAUCCCUAGCUGGUCUGAGAGGAUGAUCAGCCACACUGGAACUGAGACACGGUCCAGACUCCUACGGGAGGCAGCAGUGGGGAAUAUUGCACAAUGGGCGAAAGCCUGAUGCAGCCAUGCCGCGUGUAUGAAGAAGGCCUUCGGGUUGUAAAGUACUUUCAGUUGUGAGGAAGGGUGUGUAGUUAAUAGCUGCGCAUCUUGACGUUAGCAACAGAAGAAGCACCGGCUAACUCCGUGCCAGCAGCCGCGGUAAUACGGAGGGUGCGAGCGUUAAUCGGAAUUACUGGGCGUAAAGCGCAUGCAGGUGGUUCAUUAAGUCAGAUGUGAAAGCCCGGGGCUCAACCUCGGAACUGCAUUUGAAACUGGUGAACUAGAGUGCUGUAGAGGGGGGUAGAAUUUC